UGAGGAAUAUUGGUCAAUGGGCGGAAGCCUGAACCAGCCAUGCCGCGUGCAGGAAGGAGGCCUACGGGUUGUAAACUGCUUUUACCCGGGAAGAAACCGCCCCCUGUGGGGGGCGUUGCCGGUACCGGGGGAAAAAGGAUCGGCUAACUCCGUGCCAGCAGCCGCGGUAAUACGGAGGAUCCGGGCGUUAUCCGGAAUUACUGGGUUUAAAGGGUGCGUAGGCGGGGCUUUAAGCCGGCGGUGAAAUGCAGCGGCUCAACCGCUGGAAUGCCGUUGGGACUGGGGCUCUUGGAUACGGUCGGGGCGGGUGGAACUCGUGGUGUAGCGGUGAAAUGCAUAGAUAUCACGAGGAACGCCGGUAGCGAAGGCAGCUCGCCGGGCCGGUAUUGACGCUGAGGCACGAAAGCGUGGGGAUCGAACAGGAUU
rnacentral:rRNA from 1 species